GGGCAAGUGGCACAGUGGUAGCGCGCCUGCUUCGCACUUUGGUCGACUGCAUGAGGUCCUGGGUUCAAUCCCCAGCUUGUCCA